CCCUUAGAUGUUCUGGGCCGCACGCGCGCUACACUGACGAAUGCAACGAGCUGAUAACCUUGGCCGAAAGGUCUGGGUAAUCUCCAAAUUUCGUCGUGAUGGGGAUAGAUUAUUGCAAUUAUUAAUCUUCAACGAGGAAUGCCUAGUAAGCGCAAGUCAUCAGCUUGCGUUGAUUACGUCCCUGCCCUUUGUACACACCGCCCGUCGCUCCUACCGAUUGAAUGGUCCGGUGAAGCGUUCGGACCGUGGCCUUUGGACGGUUCGCCGUCUGUUGGCUGCGGGAAGUUCGUUAAACCUUAUCAUUUAGAGGAAGGAGAAGUCGUAACA
rnacentral:rRNA from 1 species